AGUAAGAGUGUCAGAAGGUCGGACGGUGCCGUUCUGAGUGUUCUCAUUUCAGACAGCGAGGGUGCCCUCAGCGAAUGCCAGACGAACAGGGAGACUUGGUUUGGCAACUGUGCGUGUCGUCUUCCGUUCGACAGUAGAUCUCAGAUGGGUUGAGACAGCCCCCAAGUGGACUGAGUGGGGCGAAGGACAAGCCACCAAAUCUGCAAACAGGACUGUGGAACUGUGAGAAAAUAGUGUAGAAUUAAGGUGCCAUUUGGCAUAUGAGGAAAUUUCUGAUGAAAAACUCCCAUGGAAAAGUGAUAUUUGAGGUUCAUCUUUGCCUGGACAAGGCCCAGUUCCCUCUGCUUUGCUUCCCGCAUUGCUUACUGACCCAGAUCUGCACCGCUCCCGAUGCCCUCUUGCCCCGCCUGCAGCCAGCACUGAGUCAACAAGCAAAAUCUCACAUGUAAUAUUCUGAGAUUCAACCCUCAGCAAAAGAAGGCUCACAGGAAAUGUCAGACGGAAAAGCAGCGGGAUACAGCGAUGCAGGGACGGCUCAACAUCUCCUGAGCUAGGAGGCUCCUAGCCUGCUGUCCCCGGCUCGGGCCGUGCUGCUUCUCCUCUCUGGCCUUCAGUUUCCCUGGGCACCAAAGGAGGGAAGACUGAAUGACUGCUAACGUCCUGCAUGCCAUGGUCCUUUCAUUUCAGAGAACCGUAUAUGAUCACAACAGUAUCAUUCUCCUUUGAUUAUAAAUGUCAACAAAAUACAACUUAACAUGCUCAAAAAUUUUACUACAAAGAGUGCUAUGAUUUUUCCCAUCCUUGGCAAAGGAUGGUUGAGGGCCCAUAUUAUUGGGCCACACUCACCGCUUAUAUUGGAAAAUGAGGAAAUGCUAAUGAAAUUGCUUUUAUGGGCUGACAUUCAUGGAUGGCAGAAAGGGACAUUCCAGAAGGAGUCCAGGAUUUGCUCUUCGGGAGUACUUCAGCUCCCAAAGCUUGGUGGCCAAGUGCACAAGUGGCCACACCCAAGUCUGUGUGCCGUCUGUCAUGGUCACUGAGCACUUGUUAUCGUUGAAGGGGAAUGAGAGACCUCAGGAUUUUCCCCCAACAACACUCCGAGCGUCUUGUAAAUCAUAUUCAUAUUCAUACACUUAAGCAUUAAUUUACAUACUUAAUUUCUGACAGGCUGACAACUGCAGCCCUUCUCCCCCUCGGUGUAAAGUGAGAAGUGAAUUGUUAUUCAGUGUAUCCAGUACAGUGGUAAUGGUGCUAGCUGUAUUUUAUAUAAUGUGCUAUCUGCAGAAAGGCAGAUAAGAAUUUAACAUCCAAUUAAAAGCUGUCAUUGAAAAAAUUGAAAAAAAAAGUGCUACAACUUUUAUUAUGACUCUCACCAUCUUUUGAAAAUUUCCAUUUCAGAAGUUUGAUUUGGUUCACUUUCUUGGAGCUUCUUGCCUUGGGAGCAUCCUCCAUGUACACCUCCAUGUACAUGAAGAAACUAGCCAGCAUUCCUUUUCCUGAAGCCGUAGUCUAUGGCUCUGCCUUCAUGACAUAGGCUGCGCUGUGUCCCUGUUCAGGCUGAAGCCAUCUUCUAAUUAAAAGUGCCCAGCUGAUUGAUUUACUGUUUCUUCCUCACUGUGUAUUCUGUAAGUUGUAUUUUAGUAUGUUCCUAUAGAAUUUCUUCAAUUCAUGCUGCUAUCAGUGUGAUCAAAGUUUGAGGUUUUGCAUAAGAGCCCUUCAGAUACUCUGUGGGAAUGCAAGGCCCAGCAGCUGGUGGGAAGAGUUGCAUUUCAGCACCUUAUAUUCCUAACUCUGUCUCCCUCUAUUAAUGUUGCAUUUAACCUGAGAGAGUCAACUUAGUUUUCCUGCAUAUUCUCAAGUAAAACAUUUAGUUCCUUUUUCAAUACUAAACAUGAUUUUUUCUUUUUUUUUUAAACAACAAGGACAUGCUCGGGACAGACAUCACAACACCAUAUGCUCAGAUGGGUGAUGUAAAAAUACUAUUGUCUUGUCUCCAAAUACUAAUUCUAAGAUCAAGGUCUUCAAGCAUUUGACCAUGCACAUGGACCACCAAGUUCGAGGAUACAUUAUUCCACAUCAUCAUGUCUAUAGUUUGACAAAAACCAGAACAUGUUCUCUGAAACAAGAGCAUUGUCAAUAUCACUGAAACACAUUACAGCAAUGUUUAAAUUCUUCCAUAAUUCCUUGAAAAUUUGUAGCAUAGCCUAAUCACUAAAACUUGCUAAUUAUGAGAGCUGUUAAUUUACAAUCAUUUCCUCUCAUAAUGACUGUACCAUUAUCCAUUUUUAUUUAUUCUUAAUUAAAUUCAAUAUCAACUACCUGAUUGUGUUUGAGGUAGCUUCAUAGUAGUUUUAUUGCUAUGAAAGUGACACAUUUCCAUGUAUCACCUGGGGGAUUAGAUUAGAUUUAAAUGAGAGAGGAAAAUAUAGUUUAUCAGUCACACCGUUUCCUCACUUGGCAUACAGAUUAAAAAAAAAAAUCAUCCAUUUCUUCAGUGAUUAAAAAUACAGUUCUUUUGUGAGCAUAGACACAAUACAAGGAAUCUGUUUCUUUGCAUGAAAAGUAGAAUCAUUGGAAAAGGACUCGAAUUCUAUUGCUACCUUUCGGUUAACCCGAGUGAGAAUAUGCAUAAGCUCAAGCUUGUGAGCGUACUGUUUCAGCAUUGCACAAAGUGACUGGAUGAACCAGGAUCCGUCCUUUGAAUUUCGCCAGGAAUAGUAACCUACAAGGCAAAAUGUAACCAAAAUAUCAUGGAUAUCCAAUGUUAGCUGAUUUAAUAAAUUACGACAUAAUCAUGAAGGUAAAAACAAGCAUAAACAUCCAUAGGUAUUAUUAGCCAUAUAAAUAAAUAAAU